rnacentral:rRNA from 1 species
UGACCGUGGGCAAGUAGCAUAAUCAAUUGUCUUUUAAUUAAAGGCUUGUAUGAAUGGUUGCAUGAGAUAUUGACUAUUUUUAUUUUAUUAAUAAUGAAUUUUAAUUUUUAGUAAAAAUGCUAAAUUAAUUAAGAAAGACGAGAAGACCCUAUAAAUCUUUAUUUUAAAUUAUUAAUAAAAUAUAAAGAAUAAUAAAAUUUUUAAUAUUAAUUUAAAAUUUUAUUGGGGUGAUAAUGAAAUUUAAAUAACUUUUAUUUUUAGAGUCAAGAUUUUUUGAAUAUAUGAUCCAUUAUUAAUGAUUAUAAAUUUAAGUUACUUUAGGGAUAACAGCGUAAUUAUUUUGGAGAGUUCAUAUCGAUAAAAUAGAUUGCGACCUCGAUGUUGAAUUAAGAGUAAUUUAAAUGUAGAAGUAGAGG